rnacentral:tRNA from 1 species
GCGAGGGUAGCCGAGUUGGCCAAAGGCGCAGGACUUAAGACUCCAAAGGGAAGAAAUUCUGUCCCGCAGGGGUUCAGGGGUUCGAAUCCCCUCCCUCGCA